UACGUAGGGGGCAAGCGUUGUCCGGAUUUAUUGGGCGUAAAGAGCGUGUAGGCGGUCAGGUAGGUCCGUUGUGAAAACUCGAGGCUCAACCUCGAGACGCCGAUGGAAACCAUCUGACUAGAGUCCGGAGGAGGAGAGUGGAAUUCCUGGUGUAGCGGUGAAAUGCGCAGAUAUCAGGAAGAACACCCGUGGCUAAGGCGGCUCUCUAGUACGGUACUGACGCUGAGACGCGAAAGCGUGGGGAGCGAACAGG
rnacentral:rRNA from 1 species